AGGGUGGAAUCGAGUCAAGGAUGACUUGCCGAUAUAUAUUUGCGGAAGGACUUGCAUGGGCCUUUAGCUAUGUGUAACCGGCAAGUUGACUUGACUCAGUUUGGCCCUCU
rfam:Vitis vinifera, whole genome shotgun sequence of line PN40024, unoriented chromosome 11, chr11